AUGGCAAAUGCUGGGCAGCUGAGAGGGGAAGCCGGGAAGAGGCAAGUUCCUGGUGCAAAGGUUGCUCUGCAGCAUAAUUUAGGCCUCGGAGGAGCAGUGGUGGUCACGCUCUAUAAGAUGGGGUUUCCGGAAGCCGCCAGGACACAUCAGAUUGAGGCUGCUCCCACCAGUGCUGCAAGUGAUGGAUUUAAGGCAGAUCUUGUCUUUAAGGAGAUCGAGAAGAAGCUUGAAGAGGAUGGGGAACAGUUUGUGAAGAAAAUUGGUGGUAUUUUUGCCUUCAAGGUGAAGGAUGGUCCUGGGGGUAAAGAAGCCACCUGGGUGGUGGAUGUGAAGAAUGGCAAAGGAUCAGUGCUUCCCAACUCAGAUAAAAAGGCUGACUGCACAAUCACCAUGGCUGACUCGGACUUACUGGCUUUAAUGACUGGUAAAAUGAAUCCUCAGUCGGCCUUC